GCCCCCUUAGCUCAGGGGAUAGAGCGUCUGCCUCCGGAGCAGAAGGCCGCAGGUUCGAUUCCUGCAGGGGGCACCA
rnacentral:tRNA from 1 species